CAAACUGGUACAACCAUUCUGGAAAUCAGUCUGGAGAAUCCUCAGAAAAUUGGACAUUGAACUGCCUGAGGAUCCAGCUAUACCUCUCUUCGGCAUAUACCCAAAAGAUGCCCCAACAUAUAAAAAAGACACGUGCUCCACUAUGUUCAUUGCAGCCUUAUUUAUAAUAGCCAGAAGCUGGAAAGAACCCAGAUGCCCUUCAACAGAGGAAUGGAUACAGAAAAUGUGGUACAUCUACACAGUGGAAUAUUACUCAGCUAUCAAAAACAACGACUUUAUGAAAUUCGUAGGCAAAUGGUUGGAACUGGAAAACAUCAUCCUG
rnacentral:lncRNA from 1 species